rfam:Nematostella vectensis strain CH2 x CH6 NEMVEscaffold_285_Cont22393, whole genome shotgun sequence.
CCUUCGAUAGCACAGUUUUGUAAAGCGGGGGACUGUAGAAUUAUAAUUGUGAUCCCUAGGUCGCUGGUUCGAAUCCGGCUCGAAGGA